GAAAAAUCUUGUUAACCCACCAAGGCAGGGACUCCUUUGGUCCCUAAAGACUAGACGAUUUCCCCAAAUCAGGCAUCUCUUGGUUCUACUACCACUAGUCAGAAAGAAUAUUAGAUCUGUCCACGGUGCAAAUGGACCUAUUUUUGGUGGAAGGAAAAGUGUACAAGUUGUGGUUUACCUAAACCCCCAGCUCACAUAUUGGCCCUUUUACAGAAGUCAGAACAGCUCUUUCCAGUAAUAUUACGCAGUGGGACUUCAUAUGUUCCCCAGCCACCCCAGUAAGACCAAUGGGUUCAUUGGAGAAAAAGGGUAGUCCACCAGACAUAAGGAAACCCCUAGUUACCCCCCUAGACACCCUUAAAUUGCUUGUCAUCUCAGCUCUAGCACUGGGUCUUCCAGAUUACAGAAAGCCUUUUACACUGUUCAGUACUAAACAAUCAGGUUAUGCUACAUCUGUCCUUACACAGGACCAUGGUGGUAAACAAAGAC